GUGCCGCUAAUGGCUCUUCAUUAAUUCGAGGUUUCAUUGUUCUUUUUUUUUAGCGCCAUUAUGGCAACUCUUCAAUCAGAUCACAUCACAACAAAUAACAGUUCAAAUACGCCUAAGUGGAUUUUUUAUGAAUAAGAGUACCUACUAAUAUAGUGGGCAAGCGGUAAUGAGAGGGGAUUUAAGCCGCUGUCAGUGGAAGUAAAAUGAAAGGCAGUAAGUCAACAAAAGCGUUGGUUUACUAAACAAAACACGUUUCACACAUCCGCGUGCUCGAGCGCGUGCGCUGGUGUCGGCCGACAAACCACAGCUUUGUCUAUAAGAAAUGAAGAAUAUAGGAGAAAAAGCAAGUGAAAAGAAGCCAGGCGGUGUAUUGAAAUGUUAUCGGUAAACAAAAUAACUGUGGUGAAUCAUACUCCUACAUAAGAUUUACUUCCUCAAAUAGGCGUAGCCAUAAUGCACAUUUGUAUAUAAUUUUUUGCCAUAAAGGCACGAACUUUUCUACUUUGCUGCAAUGCCUUACUAGAAGACAGCAACCAAGAACGUCACAAACGCUACGAAUCGGAAGCGACUAAGGGGCGCGAAGAUAUUUAUGAAAUACAUACAUGCAGUUCAAGCAAUAACAAUUGGUCACCUAUAUAAACACCAAUCAUAGUUUUUUAAUGACGAUCAUGGGACAUAGUCGUUGAAUUUCAAAUAUUUUCUGUGCGCAUCUAACAAACCUUAUCUACUGAAAUACUGAAAGAUAAAUUUGCCCAACCAGCAAUUGGAAGAGCAAAAAAAACAGAGAGAUUAACACAUGAGAAAAAGGGCGUGUAAGGAAGAGCUCAAUAAAAGAGGAGACGAAAAAAUCCUUAAAAAUAACCAAUACAUAUGUUAGUACAUGAGUACAUAUACACUUAUAUACGUACUUGCUGUUUGCAACAAGAGAGACUAAGAAACAUGCGCGGAGAGGCAUCAGCUCUGAUAAUAAACAUAUAUUCGUCACGCAAACCAGGUAAUGGACACAUUUACUUGUUUUUGCCUAUUAGCUAUACGGAUUUUUCGCUCUAAACAAUACGAUAGGAAUGAUUUUAAAUAUCACUCUAUACCGAGGAUAGUGGAUAGCAAUAUAUUUUAAAUUUUCGAUUUGUAAUUUUUAUAUAUAAAAUGCUCAACUGUAUUUAAAAUGUUUACGCAUAUUUAUGAACUUACCAUAACAUAUUCGUUAAUCCUUUAUUGUAUAGUUCGGAGCAUUUAUUUGAAGAUACAAGUAGCUCUUUUAAUUUUCUUCCGAAAUUCCUCACGUCAAACUUGUUAUUUCAACAUAAGGGAGCUAAAACGAACCCUUGAAAUACUUUUUACACCAAUCACUACACAAAUAAUUGAUUUAGCUUUCAUCACAAAUUUUUCGUUUGAAACACCUUUGUGCAAAUAUCAAUUUUCACACUUUUUCAUAUUUAGUAUUUCUAUUUUAUCACUGAAUUGGUAUCCUUUUCACUUUUUGAUAUAAGUUAAUAAUUAUUUGGCAUUGUUUUCAUAUACAUAUUCACAUUGUUCUUUUAUUCUCAUUGGAAUUCUUUUAUUAUAUGCCCUUUUUACGUUGACUAUGCGCACCCAUCACCAUCAUCCACUGUGCCACUGCUGCUGAUUUGCG